CCGCUACAUUUAUCACGAAAUGGGAAACGGUCACCAGUCGCACCCCAAAUAAAUGACUUUUAUGAGAUGGAGGUGAUAUUGCGGGCGAAGGAGGCAGAAAUGCAGUUCCUCAGACAGGAAGCUUGUUCUCUCCAGGAAGAUUUGAAGCUUACUCGAAUGGACAAAAUAUACGCCGAGAACAAGCUCAAGGCCCUUUAUCACAGCCAGGAUGAAUCCCAUCAUCACGUCAGCAAAUU